UAAAGUUUUGGUCCUAAACUUGCUGCUAUUUAUAAUCAAAAUUACACAUGCAAGUAUCCGCAUCCCAGUGAAAAUGCCCCAUUUAGCAACACGGAGCAGGUAUCAGGCACAAAUCAUUUAGCCCAAAACACCUUGCCUCGCCACACCCCCACGGGUAAUCAGCAGUGAUAGAUAUUAAGCAAUAAGCAAACCCAACCGUAGCUUGACUUAGUUAAGAUUAUCAAGAGCCGGUCAACCUCGUGCCAGCCACCGCGGUUAUACGAGGGGCCCAAAAUAGCAGAUAUCGGCGUAAAUAGUGGCUAAGGACAGAACCUUUCAAUUAAAGAAGAAAACCCAAGCCUAAUUGUAAAACACGGGCUAAAUGAAAUCCAACUUCUUUAAAUAUAAGACUCCCGACCCACGAAAACUAAGAAACAAACUAGGAUUAGAUACCCUACUAUGCUUAGUCGUUAAUAUGACACUCUUAUACAAUAGUGUUCGCCAGAGAAUUACGAGCGAAAAGCUUAAAACUCAAAAGACUUGGCGGUGCCCCAUUCCGACUUAGAGGAGCCUGUCCUAUAAUCGAUACUCCACGUUAAACCUCACCAUUUUUUGCCCCCAGCCUAUAUACCGCCGUCGCCAACCAACCCCAUGAGGGCCCAACAGUAAGUAAAAUAGUUUAACAACUAACACGUCAGGUCAAGGUGUAGCUUAUAAAAUGGCAGAGAUGGGCUACAAUUUUUAAAAUAAAAUACCACGGCAAGAGACCCUGAAACAAGUCACAGAAGGCGGAUUUAAUAGUAAGACUGGCAAGAAAGCCUUUCUUAAACUCGCUCUGGGGCGCGCACACACCGCCCGUCACCCUCCUCGACAAUAACCUACAACUACAUAAUUCAAUAAAUAUAACAAGAUGAGGCAAGUCGUAACAUGGUAAGCGUACUGGAAAGUGCG
rnacentral:ncRNA from 1 species